GCCAAACUCGGGGCUACACAUGAAUUUUUUUUAUUAUGUUUGUUGAAUAAAGCAGGGUGGAUUAGAGGAACCCCAUUUGAUUAGGAAAGUUUAAGGAACACUUUUGAAAUGGCUUGAAGAAAAUGCAAAGUGAUUAAAUUUUUAAAAAAUGUGCUUCAAUUUAUUAAAAAAUGUGCUUGUUUGAACGUUAUUUUGGAGAGAGAUUGAAAAAUUAGUUGCCAAUAAUAAAUUUUACUCUGUUGGCAAGUUUUUCAGUAAUAAAACAGAGCUAAUAUUAGAUUAAUAAUGUUCUUACUGAUUUUCCAUUAAUAAAAGACUCACUUGUUCCUGAUGGUGGGUUCUUGUAUCUGCUAUAUGCUUAGUGUGCCUGGGACCUAUAUAUUUACUAUAUAUUUAGUGUGACUCUAGUAGUUCAACAAUUAAUGCACCUGGAAAGUGGCUACCUUAGACUUUGUAAUAAGAAAUUAAAGGUCACUAAUGAUAAACAAAAACUGUUGGAUUUAAUUAUAAAGCAUUCAUAAAA